rnacentral:lncRNA from 1 species
CAAGGACCCCAAAGCCGCCCAUACUGACUAGUGUAAAACCAUUCAAAUAGGAAAACCAACGGUCUAAUCUAGUAUAUAAAGCUCAGAUAUAAAGAAAUUCGUAAGGAUUCCGCGAAACCCAUUGUCUUAGAUAUAGGAAGAUGUGGUAUGAGUGCCAUUGAGUGCCAAUGAGACAAUUCUCCAUCAAAGUCACAAUUUAUAAAAGUUAACCAUUAUAGGUCAAGGCACAGCCUUCGACACGGAGCCUUGGCUCACACCGAACAACCAGCUAUAAAGGCCCCAAACAAAUUAGUAGUGUAAAACCAUUCAAACGGGAAACCAACGGUCUGAUCUAUAUAUAAAAAAAACCAAGAAAUGAGAAACACGUAUAAAUAACAUAAACAAACGAC